rnacentral:rRNA from 1 species
UACGUAGGGUGCAAGCGUUAUCCGGAAUUAUUGGGCGUAAAGAGCUCGUAGGCGGUCUGUCGCGUCUGCUGUGAAAACUGGGGGCUCAACCCCCCAGCCUGCAGUGGGUACGGGCAGACUAGAGUGCGGUAGGGGAGACUGGAAUUCCUGGUGUAGCGGUGAAAUGCGCAGAUAUCAGGAGGAACACCGGUGGCGAAGGCGGGUCUCUGGGCCGUAACUGACGCUGAGGAGCGAAAGCGUGGGGAGCGAACAGG